rnacentral:rRNA from 1 species
GAGUUUGAUCCUGGCUCAGAUUGAACGCUGGCGGCAGGCCUAACACAUGCAAGUCGAGCGGUAGCACGGGAGUAGCUUGCUCUCUGGGUGACGAGCGGCGGACGGGUGAGUAAUGUCUGGGAAACUGCCUGAUGGAGGGGGAUAACUACUGGAAACGGUAGCUAAUACCGCAUGACCUCGCAAGAGCAAAGUGGGGGACCUUCGGGCCUCACGCCAUCGGAUGUGCCCAGAUGGGAUUAGCUAGUAGGUGGGGUAAUGGCUCACCUAGGCGACGAUCCCUAGCUGGUCUGAGAGGAUGACCAGCCACACUGGAACUGAGACACGGUCCAGACUCCUACGGGAGGCAGCAGUGGGGAAUAUUGCACAAUGGGCGCAAGCAUGAUGCAGCCAUGCCGCGUGUGUGAAGAAGGCCUUAGGGUUGUAAAGCACUUUCAGCGAGGAGGAAGGCGUUGUAGUUAAUAGCUGCAACGAUUGACGUUACUCGCAGAAGAAGCACCGGCUAACUCCGUGCCAGCAGCCGCGGUAAUACGGAGGGUGCAAGCGUUAAUCGGAAUUACUGGGCGUAAAGCGCACGCAGGCGGUUUGUUAAGUCAGAUGUGAAAUCCCCGAGCUUAACUUGGGAACUGCAUUUGAAACUGGC